rnacentral:tRNA from 1 species
GCCGCGAUAGCUUGGCUGGUAGAGUAUCUGCCUGGUAUGUAGACGGUCGCCGGUUCGAUUCCGGCUCGCGGCG